rnacentral:rRNA from 1 species
CAGCAGCCGCGGGAAUACGAAGGGUGCAAGCGUUACUCGGAAUUACUGGGCGUAAAGCGUGUGUAGGUGGUUGUUUAAGUCUGUUGUGAAGUCCCCGGGCUCAACCUGGGAAUAGCAAUGGAUACUGGCAAGCUAGAGUGUGUCAGAGGAUGGUGGAAUUCCCGGUGUAGCGGUGAAAUACGUAGAGAUCGGGAGGAACAUCAGUGGCGAAGGCGGCCAUCUGGGACAACACUGACGCUGAGGCACGAAAGCGUGGGGAGCAAACAGGAUUAGAUACCCCUGUAGUCCCUGUCUCUUAUAC